GACGAACGCUGGCGGCGUGCUUAACACAUGCAAGUCGAACGGAAAGGCCCUGCUUUUGUGGGGUGACCGAGUGGCGAACGGGUGAGUAACACGUGAGUAACCUGCCCUUGACUUUGGGAUAACUUCAGGAAACUGGGGCUAAUACCGGAUAGGAGCUCCCGCUGCAGUGUGGGGGUUGGAAAGUUUCGGCGGUUGGGGAUGGACUCGCGGCUUAUCAGCUUGUUGGUGGGGUAGUGGCUUACCAAGGCUUUGACGGGUAGCCGGCCUGAGAGGGUGACCGGCGACAUUGGGACUGAGAUACGGCCCAGACUCCUACAGGAGGCAGCAGUGGGGAAUAUUGCACAAUGGGCGGAAGCCUGAUGCAGCAACGCCGCGUGCGGGAUGACGGCCUUCGGGUUGUAAACCGCUUUCGCCUGUGACGAAGCGUGAGUGACGGUAAUGGGUAAAGAAGCACCGGCUAACUACGUG
rnacentral:rRNA from 1 species